UUCCCCUACGGGGCGCAGCAGUGGGGAAUAUUGGGCAAUGGGGGAAACCCUGACCCAGCGACGCCGCGUGAGGGAAGAAGGUUUUCGGAUUGUAAACCUCUGUCCUUGGUGACGAUAAUGACGGUAGCCAAGGAGGAAGCCACGGCUAACUACGUGCCAGCAGCCGCGGUAAUACGUAGGUGGCGAGCGUUGCCCGGAAUUACUGGGUGUAAAGGGAGCGUAGGCGGGAGAGCAAGUCGGCUGUGCAAUCUAUGGGCUUAACCCAUAGCUGC
rnacentral:rRNA from 1 species